rnacentral:rRNA from 1 species
UACGAAGGGGGCGAGCGUUGUUCGGAAUUACUGGGCGUAAAGGGCGCGCAGGCGGCCUUAGAAGUCAGAUGUGAAAGCCCCGGGCUCAACCUGGGAAUGGCAUUUGAUACUCUGAGGCUGGAGUACGGGAGAGGAGAGUGGAAUUCCCAGUGUAGAGGUGAAAUUCGUAGAUAUUGGGAAGAACACCGGUGGCGAAGGCGGCUCUCUGGACCGUAACUGACGCUGAGGCGCGAAAGCGUGGGUAGCAAACAGG